rnacentral:lncRNA from 1 species
CUCUAGUGUUAUAGUAUUUUCAGUUUCUAAGAUGAUCUCAUUUUCGGUUUUUAUUUAUUAACCCAUUAAUUAAGCUGCAAUCCACCCAACUGGAACCAACUUUAUUAUUUUGCCCAGUCUAACGCCAGACAAUUUACUCGUCAAGUCUUGCGUAUUAACAUGGGUUAACAUUAACGCUUGAGCAUUUAAAUUUGUAAAGUGAUACAUUGUCUGCCAUGUAAUUAAGAAUGCAUAUUUACAUGGAGGUGGGGUGAUGCUACUGUGUUCACAUUAAUACGAACUUACAUCCAAACCAAGAGCAGCUGCAAAAAAUGCAAAUAUAUAGGCCCUCUGGUAGGAAUUGAACCUGCGACUCCGUUGCAGCGCUCUAACCAACUGAGCUACAAAAUCCACAAGGUCGAGUUUUAACCACAAGGUCGAGUUUUAACCACAAGUUCAUGUAUACAGUACAUACUACGUGAUGCCAGUGUAAGGUAUAUGGGAAAAUAUCAGGAUUUCAGGCAUCUUAGUCGAUAUUAAAUGUUCGAUGGUUUUUUGUAGAUGGAAAUCUCGAAAACCCUUCAACAUGUAUAGUGCAGGGUGUAUCAAAAAAGGUAAAACAAUUUCGGCAUGUUAUCGUGCGUUAUAGAUACUAAGUUUAUAUAUUUACUUUUCGCACACUAAUAAAGAUAGGCUUUUAGCUGCCAAAUGACACCGUUCUUAUGCCAUUGCAAUGAAAAAUGGUCAGAUGCAAUCCGAUUUAAAGUGGUCAAUCGAAAAUUAAAUGUUCUUCCAAUUUUCGAACAUUUACCUAGGCUAUAUGCUGAUUAGAUAAUUGAUUACCGUCGGCUGUAUAACAAUAGGUUUUUCACAAGUUUUCUUCGAGGCCUUUCAUUUGUUGACUCGAAUAACCGCUACUGUUGAGGCAAACGACCAAUUUUAAUUUUUAAAAUUCCUACAGUACAUGAUUCAGAAUGUUAAUAUUAAUUCUUGAUACAUUAUAACAUCGCAAAAUCACUGUCCAAAAGUGAUUGCUAAGAGCGGUCGUAAUCAAUGUAAUGUUAUUUUUCGUUGAAGUAAGUAAACAAAGGCACUUUUCAGUUGAAGACUUCAAUUUCUGUCGUUAAGAAUUUGUACUGACCAGCAAGAAGGUUGUUUGCUUGUUCACUGUUAUAGACGUAACCAGGGGGAAGUUGGUAUGCGAAUCCAAAAUUGCUGUAUGAUUGAUUAACUUGAGGAUUGUUAUAAACGACCAGAUCAUGAGCUCCACCAAAGAAUGGUCCAUAACCAGAGUAACAGUAGAUUGCAUACUGCUCCUGACCUUGCUUGAUGUUGGCAAUAAAUGGAGGAAGCUUGUCUUUGUUGCGUAGCGAGAAUAAAAAUGACGCGUUGGAAUGUUUAUGAUUUCC